UACGGGGGGGGCAAGCGUUGUUCGGAAUUACUGGGCGUAAAGGGUCUGUAGGUGGCUCGCUAAGUCAGACGUGAAAUCCCUCAGCUUAACUGGGGAACUGCGUCUGAGACUGGCAAGCUUGAGUGCAGGAGAGGAACGCGGAAUUCCAGGUGUAGCGGUGAAAUGCGUAGAUAUCUGGAGGAACACCGGUGGCGAAGGCGGCAUCCUGGACCGGCAUUGACGCUGAGGCGCGAAAGCCAGGGGAGCAAACGGG
rnacentral:rRNA from 1 species